ACGUAGGGGGCGAGCGUUGUCCGGAUUCAUUGGGCGUAAAGCGCGCGUAGGCGGCUCCGCAAGUCGGCCGUGAAAUCUCCGGGCUCAACUCGGAGGGGUCGGGCGAGACUGCGGGGCUCGAGGUGGGCAGAGGGCAGUGGAAUUCCGGGUGUAGUGGUGGAAUGCGUAGAGAUCCGGAGGAACACCAGUGGCGAAGGCGGCUGCCUGGGCCUGGCCUGACGCUGAGGCGCGAAAGCGUGGGGAGCAAUCCGGA
rnacentral:rRNA from 1 species